GAGGAUUCAGAAAUCACAAUUUUAUUUGCAUAUAAUAUGCAAUAAUAAAAAUAUAAUAAUAAUAUUAAUCAAAAUGGCCAAGAUUUAUGGAGUACCUACUGUGAGCCAAGGAUUGUGUGAUGGCUUUAUAAUACAUCUCACUUAAUCCUCAUGAUAAUAUAAAGAGGUAGGAUAUAGAUGAAAAAUGAUUGUGAUUGAUUUAGUCAAGGUCACAUGACUGGUGAGAAUCCAGAUAAGGUUCUGACUUGAUCACCACCUGAAACUGCUUCCAUACGACAAUGCUCUUCAGUUGAGACGUGAAGCAUUAAAAUCACUGUUUUGGAAUGAGUCACGUGUCCUCUAUACACCAUACACAGAAUUCACAAUUUACCUAACUUUAUUAGAGCUAUAGUAUAUUAGACUAAGUCUUCAAAGCAUUGAUUUGCUCCAAUCAGCAUGAUUUUACAUAGUAGAACUGAAUUGGCCCCAAGCUAUUUGGUUUUACAUUUUCUAUUACCUAAAUAUUGAUGGUUUCCCCCAAGUCUAUCACUUUCACUGUCUUCUUAAAAGCAUGUUUUUACUAACAAAGAAUGUUUUACAUUAUUUCAGGGAGCCAGUGUAGGAAGUAUAUUGAAACAUGAGUUGGAUAAUAUUCACAUCCAUAAAAGUUUAUUAUAAUUCAAGAACUAUAGAUCUAAUUCUGUGUGAUAUUUAUAUUUAAAUAUAAAUAUAUAAACAUAUAAAUAUAUUUAAAGGAUUUAAGGAUUCAGGGGUGCCUGAGUGGCACAGUCGGUUAAACGUCUGACUUUUGGUUUUUGGCUCAAGUCAUCUCAGGGUCGUGAAACUGAGCCCCGAGUCGGGCUCCAUGCUCAGAGCAGUUUGCUUAAGAUUCUCUCUCUCUCUUUCUUGUUCUCUCAAAUAAGUAAGUAAGUAAGUAAAUAAAUCUUUAAAAAAAAAAAAAAAACUUCACUGAAUAUUUUCAGUAAAAAAGUAUUAUAUAAAGAAUGCAUCAUUAAGCAGUUUGAUUUGUGCUUACUGAACAACUUUUUUGUGAUUAUAGUUAAAAUAUAUUAAAGUUAAGGAUAGACAUCAUUCAGAAGAGUAUUCUGAGAGAGUUAUAGUAGAAAGGAGUUUCUUGUUCUCCUUUUUGCCAAUUUGUCCUAAAUUGGGUAAGAUAUCUCUUUAUCAGUGGGACUGUAAUUUCAAUUGUAGGAACUAGAUAAAAAAAAAACCAAAUCUAAUAAUUCAUAUUGUGACGAUUCAUUUCUAUUAGAUUUCAUGAGUCAGUUAAUAUGAAUUGUAAUGCUUUUUACAUUAAAAUGUCCAACUUUUUAUUUUUUUUUAAGUAGCCUCCACGCCCAACGUGAAGCCACAUGUGGGGCAUGAACUCACGACCCUGAGAUCACGACAUGAGUUGAGAUCAAGCAUCAGCUUAACCUAUUGAACCAUCCAGGUAACCCCAAAUUUCAAACUUUUUGAAACUAGACAUUCUGAAACUAAGAAAAGGAAAGUCAUAGUAUAAAAUCAUUUAAAGUUGGUAGUUCAUAGGAGUUCCUAAAACUUUACUAGGAUAUGUUCACAUUUUUCAUUAAUUUCAGGUCAGGACUCCUCUGUAAUCAGUAAAUAAAAGCUUACAGAAAUGUAGUUCCAUUGCCAAAUGCUUUAGCUUCAAAUGUAAUUUUCUUUCAACGUGAUUUCUUUUAGAUAUAACACAAUUUCUUUCUGAUCCUGAGCAUAUGUGUCUAUGCUAAUAUGAAAUGGUGUCUUAGAAAGGUUAUUUUUGUUUUCUGCAGGGAGUAGUCAUCCUUUGACCUAUAUUCAAUACGUGACACAGAUCUGAUUGUGCAACAACCAUUAGCCUCAUCUGAAAUCUCUAGUUGGAGGUCGGGGCUCAGGUCAGGGACCAUUACUCCUGGGUGUCAGAGCUAAACUUAAUUAAUGCCUUUUAAAAAUAUAUGGAUGAUAUUUUGUUCCCCUUAGGAUGUAUGAAAAUGGCAGCAGAAUUUAAUCCUGAAAAAUGUUGAAAACAAGAAUGGUUUAGUUGUUUGACAUGUCCCCAUGACCUGUUUCUCAAAUCAUCAACAUUGCCCAGUGCAUUUGGCUUUUUACAUGCCUCCUGACCAGUUCUUUCUUUCUUUUCUCUUUUUUCUUUUCUUUUUUCUUUUCUUUUCUUUUCUUUUCUUUCUUUUCUUUUCUUUUCUUUUC
rnacentral:lncRNA from 1 species